CUUGCUUUUGAAGAUCAGCGGCGGACGGGUGAGUAACACGUGGGCAACCUGCCUGUAAGACUGGGAUAACUUCGGGAAACCGGAGCUAAUACCGGAUAAUCCUUUCCCUCUCAUGAGGGAAAGCUGAAAGACGGUUUCGGCUGUCACUUACAGAUGGGCCCGCGGCGCAUUAGCUAGUUGGUGAGGUAACGGCUCACCAAGGCAACGAUGCGUAGCCGACCUGAGAGGGUGAUCGGCCACACUGGGACUGAGACACGGCCCAGACUCCUACGGGAGGCAGCAGUAGGGAAUCUUCCGCAAUGGACGAAAGUCUGACGGAGCAACGCCGCGUGAACGAUGAAGGCCUUCGGGUCGUAAAGCUCUGUUGUCAGGGAAGAACAAGUACCGGAGUAACUGCCGGUACCUUGACGGUACCUGACCAGAAAGCCACGGCUAACUACGUGCCAGCAGCCGCGGUAAUACGUAGGUGGCAAGCGUUGUCCGGAAUUAUUGGGCGUAAAGCGCGCGCAGGCGGUUCCUUAAGUCUGAUGUGAAAGCCCCCGGCUCAACCGGGGAGGGUCAUUGGAAACUGGGGAACUUGAGUGCAGAAGAGGAGAGCGGAAUUCCACGUGUAGCGGUGAAAUGCGUAGAGAUGUGGAGGAACACCAGUGGCGAAGGCGGCUCUCUGGUCUGUAACUGACGCUGAGGCGCGAAAGCGUGGGGAGCGAACAGGAUUA
rnacentral:rRNA from 1 species